GUAGACAGAAAGAACGGGGGUGGGGGAAGGAAGGAAAGCACGCUUCGCCAGGAUCCAGCUGUUUUCUAACAAACCUAAGCCUACGGAAGCUAGGAAGAUAUCGGAAGCAAGGAAGAUAUCGGAAGCGACGGCAUCCCUCAAAUUCGAGAGGGCGGAUGCCUCUAGGGCUAGAGAGGCUCCCUAGCCCUCAGUUACAGAGCGACUGGGAGGGGACAAAAUGGAGUUGAGGUUUAGGGGCACCCUAAAGGUCGUUUGGAGGUCUAGCAAGCACUUCAUGGUCUCCUCCGGAAAGGGCCGUGGCAAAGCCUAGUACCCCGAUCAGGAAGAUGACUUCUGGCCCUCGGGAUGCGGUGAGCGGCAGGAAGAGGCAGGCUGGGGUUCCGAGGACCCCAGAGUCCAUCACAGGAGCAGAUACAGUGACCUCGGGAAUCUUCCCGGCCCCAGCGGAGGCGAGCGGAUAGAUAGCCCUGGCUCAAGGAAAAAAGCGAGCCGACUCCAGGAGCUGGAAUGCCCACCCAACCUCCUCCCGGCUCAGGUGAGGUACGCCAGUCCCCCUCUGGAAAUGGGGCCCUGGUACCGACAGGGCAGGGGUGCCGGGGCCGCAACCUCCCCAUCCAGGGAUACUCACCGGAGGGGCGGCCCACCGCGUCUUCGCAGCCGGCCGGCGCCUGGCACUCGGAAAGCUCGCAAAAAGGAACCGCGUGCCCGCUAGCGCUGGGACGAGGAGGAGCGCGCGGCGGAGGCCAGAGAAAAAGCCGCAGCGGCGCGCGCGCACCCGGACAGCCGGCGGAGGCGGGACUCAGCGCGAGCCCGGAAAAGACGCGCCCGGAGGGGCGGGCGGAGCGGGGGCGCGCGGUGGUGUGGCAGAGCCAGCCGAAUCGCUGGCUGCAGACGGCUCGGCCCACCCACGCGCCCGCCCCCGCUCGCCCGGGACGUCAGUCGAAAAGGCGGAGCCGAACGGGCUUCCCGGGGCGCGGGAGGGGCGCUGCGAGGAAGGCGAGGCGGCUAACGGCUCGCCUCAAGUUGUUGCUCCCGCUGGCGAUCCGCUUCUGUCAGUCUCGCUGCUGGUGUCGUUGAGUGUGUUUCGGGAUGUCCUUGCGCCUAACAGCAGUGAGGCGCAGAAUUGGCCCACGCCCUCACCUGCGGCUUGCUUCGCAGGACUCCACCCCAGGAUAAAAGUUCCCCUCGGGUCAUCUUCCAGCUGCCCUCAAAAGACACUCAUUUUUGGGUUUCACUGCUCCUCUUUAAGAGAGCUAUCUUGAACACUUUGACUAAAAGCAUCUUGCUCCUGUAAGCCUGAACUAAUGCCUCUCAUCCGUUUAUCUUGCCUCUUACUGCGUUAAGAUCCCCGCUCACUCCCACUGAUGAAAUAUCACAAGGACGCAGGAUUUUCACGUUGUCUUUCAUUUCCACGAUGGUAUCAUGGCAAAAAAACCCCCAACUGAUAAGGAAAAGUCACCGCAGCUUUGUGACAUCUUACUAGCCCUGAUCAUUGCUUAUAAGCCGGUCAUACGAAUGCUGUUCCAACAGAUGCAAGAAAUUGCUAUUAAAAUUAAAAUGCCAGCGAACUAUCUGAGGGCUUCAAAAGGGACAGACCAUAAUUGCAAAUGAGGCCUGAUAAACUGCCAAGAAUAUAUCACCCAAAAAAAUAAAUCUCAAGAAUUCUUCCAGUUCCCUGAUGCGUAAUGGUGAACUAGCUUCCUGUUCCUGAUGGUAAUUGACAUUUCACUUCACUUGCUGAUUUCCAUUUUCCCAUAGAAUUACCAUUUGUGCUUGUGUGUGUGUAUAUAUAUAUGUAUAUAUAAAAUGCCUUACCACCUGAGAUUACAAGCUAGAGUAGUUCUUCAGUGUGCAUCACAAUUAUCUGGGGUGCUUGUUGAAAUGUAGGUACCUGGAGCUACAACCCCCAGGUAUUUUGAUUCUGAUCUGGGUAGGGAUAAGAAAUUUGAAUUUUUAAUAAGCAGCCCAGGUGACACUAAAAGUGGUUAGCUGAGAGCACAGAGCUAUAGUUUUUGUGUUACUACUCUAAAGCCAUAUUACCAAUUCAAUUUCCAAGAAACCCACCCACUUACAUAUAAUAUACCUAUAAAUAUUGCUAAGACAGUCAUGUAGCUUCCUUUUUCAAGAUUGACCUACAAAGUUCAGUACUUCAAACAACGAGUUUAAUUGUCAUGUUUAUUUUAUGAAAUCUUGUUUUAAUACCAGAAAUAAGCAAUCAUAUGUCAGGUACGUAAUUCACUGGGUAACUAUGAUGUACAGAGCACUAUCACCUACAGUUGGGUUAACACAAAUGAAAUUGAAGAAAUGAAUAUCGCUGUUCUCAAUAAAGUUAGUGUCUAGUUGUGGAAUUAAAAUAUAGAUAUAAUACAAACCCAGUGUAGCACAUAAAUCAGUGUGCUGGAUGAAGAUGAAAAAGAACUUGUAAUUAAAGAGUACUUUUGCCAGUUU